UCACUUAGGAAGCACAUAUCCUAAAGUUGGAAUUAUACAGAGAAGAUUAACACGGCCCCUUCAUAAAGAUGACAUGAAAAUUCACAAAGGUUUCCAGACAUUU